ensembl:lncRNA
GCGUUUGUCACAUGAAUGUCUGGUGUGGAAUUAUGUUAUUGAAGAGCUUAUUUCUGGUGUGUCAAAUGGAAUCGCUGCUCAUCAGGGCUGAAAUCCUCUCCAGAUCCCCGGGAUUAAAUUCUCAGCAGGACCUCCCUAUGCUGUGGUGCUAAGGAGUGCGUUCAGAUUACCUGGGAAAGGAGGCCAACCCCCGUCCUGCUUGCAGAAGGAGGUACCAACACCCCUCAGUGCCUGGGCUGGCAGAUUUUCCUGAGGACGGGAAGUGUGGUGGUUGGUAGAGGAUGGACUCUGUUGUCUUCCAGCCCUCAGUGCCACAGUGUCUGACAUCUGGCAUGGCUCAAUCACUUAUAUGUGAAAGAUCAAACACUUCAAAGGGUCUCCCUGGGUUUGGAAAUGGAAAGCUCUUCUUAUGUCCUCAGACAGGUACAGCAGCAUGCUGGACAGCUGUGUGCGUUAUCAACAGUAAAAACAAA